rnacentral:miRNA from 1 species
UUUAUGUGAUUCUGUUUAUAAGAUGUACCAGGCCAUGAUUGCAAAUGCCUGUUUCUACAGCCCAGGGGAGGCUGAGGCAGGAGGAU